GUCCCCGCGUCCCCUUGGCAUCCCCCACCAAAAAAAGGAGGUGCCGGUGCCCCCCAGGAGAGAUGAGCGGGGUGCCUGUGGGAUGGGUACCAAAAGCUUCAGCACCAGCGCCUUAUAAGGACUCAGACAACAAGCGCCUGUGGUAAGGCUGAGGUUGGGCCCUCAGGACCCGCGGGCCUGGCCUGCACCGUGGCCUGCGAUGGAGGGAGUCCUUUAUUUCAUCUCCUUUUAUUUUCCUAGCCGGGGAUAAAGAGUACAAAAGUGCCCCAGGGAAGGGGCGUCCUCCGGAAUCUGGAGGUGGGCGGCCAGUGCUGGCGCAGACACCUGUAGCCAGCUUGGAUGGGGAAGGCUGGGAUGAAACCUAGUCCCGCCCCGUGCAGGGAGAGGGACCAGAGGGAUCCGGGGAAACCAGGAGGGUCUUAACGGCAAAAAUAGAUCCCGGUUCCCGUCCCCCAGGAUCCUGCCCCGCAUGUGUCGAACAGGUCGUGGAGCCUCCAGCCGGAAGGGCCCUGAGAGCCGAGGCCCUGAGACCCCAGCCCUGAGCCCUGUCCCUGGCGGGGGAAUCCCCAGCCUUGCGGUGCUGGGUGGGCCAGCGGUGCUUCUCUGCUGCUCAGCUCCGGGCGCCCAGUCCCGGCGCUGCUAGGCCCUGGUGUGCGGUCAGCUGCCCGGCCUCCCGUGGUGCUGUCCCUGGGUGACCAUGCCGGGGAGCGCCUCUCCCUGGCUCUGCCAUUGUGGGCUUGCUCGCUGAGUUGUUUUCAGCUCCGUGUCUGUGGUUCCUGGGAGAGGGUGCAUUUUGUUGUGGAUGACUUGGUUCAGAAACAGUGGGGACGUGGGCCAGCGCUGGGCAUCUCAGGUGGGUGCCCAGCGACUUCAGGAGGCUUGGUCUUCCUGGCCUUGGCGUGGACGGCGUCUCACGAAGGACACACACAUCACACCGAGAGCCUUGAGCGAAGGCGAGGUUGCUGCUUUUAAGGAGAAUGUGCGGUGCAGCGGUGACUCCGUGUGUCCCGUUUACCCCAGGUGUCCUCUGUGGAAGAUCCCUUCUCCGCGGACGCCGGACACAAACGUUUCAGCACCAGGCUAAGACACAGGGAGGGAAUGGAGAGAUUUUUGUUUUUUUAAAGCAAAACAUCAGGGAAAAAAGCCAGUUGAUUUCUAUCAGCAGCAGUUUGGCUAUUGCGUAACUCAGAG
rnacentral:lncRNA from 1 species